rnacentral:tRNA from 1 species
GAAAUAGUCGGGAUAGC